UAACACGUAGUCAACUUACCCUAUGGACGAGGAUAAUCUCGGGAAACUGAGCAUAAUACUCGAUAGAUCAUAAUGCCUGGAAUGGUUUAUGGUUGAAAUGAUUCGUCGCCAUAGGAUGGGACUGCGGCCUAUCAGCUUGUUGGUGAGGUAAUGGCCCACCAAGGCGAUUACAGGUACGGGCUCUGAGAGGAGAAGCCCGGAGAUGGGUACUGAGACAAGGACCCAGGCCCUAUGGGGCGCAGCAGGCGAGAAAACUUUGCAAUGUGCGAAAGCACGACAAGGUUAAUCCGAGUGAUUUCUGCUAAAGAAAUCUUUUGCAA
rnacentral:rRNA from 1 species